rnacentral:rRNA from 1 species
GAUCCUGGCUCAGAUUGAACGCUGGCGGCAGGCUUAACACAUGCAAGUCGAGCGGGCGAGGUUGCUUCGGUAACUGAGCUAGCGGCGGACGGGUGAGUAAUGCUUAGGAAUCUGCCUAUUAGUGGGGGACAACAUCUCGAAAGGGAUGCUAAUACCGCAUACGUCCUACGGGAGAAAGCAGGGGACCUUCGGGCCUUGCGCUAAUAGAUGAGCCUAAGUCGGAUUAGCUAGUUGGUGGGGUAAAGGCCUACCAAGGCGACGAUCUGUAGCGGGUCUUGAGAGGAUGAUCCGCCACACUGGGACUGAGACACGGCCCACGAUUCUUACGGGGAGGCAGCAGUGGGGAAUAUUGGACAAUGGGGGGAACCCUGAUCCAGCCAUGCCGCGUGUGUGAAGAAGGCCUUUUGGUUGUAAAGCACUUUAAGCGAGGAGGAGGCUACCGAGAUUAAUACUCUUGGAUAGUGGACGUUACUCGCAGAAUAAGCACCGGCUAACUYUGUGCCAGCAGCCGCGGUAAUACAGAGGGUGCAAGCGUUAAUCGGAUUUACUGGGCGUAAAGCGCACGCAGGA